rnacentral:tRNA from 1 species
CUACCCGUGGCACAGCUGGAUAGCGCAUCAGACUCCGACUCUGAAGGUCAUGAGUUCGAAUCUCAUCGGGUAGGCCA